CAGCUGUAUGAACUUUGCUGAGAGUAGGCUAAAUCUGCAGCCUGUUUCAAAACAUUAUCCACUUGGUGUAGGCAGAAAUAGGAGCUCAGGGUUAUGACUCUGGAAAAGAUCUGGGUUGGAUGGAUGAAGCUCUCUCACCUGGGUUCCAUGUUCCAGAAACAGAUGCGUAUUAUGUUCUAUGGACAAACUCCAUUGUUUCAGAGUCUUAGAUCUCUGCAUUUUAGACGUAUCUCCCAGUUUGUGGAGGCUACUGUGCUUGAAGAUCAGCAGAAGGAAUCUCAGUUUUAGUGACUUGGUGGUGUGCGUCUUGUGACCUUCACAGGCUGAAUGUGAGUUCUAAUACAAGAGCCAUGAGAACUGACAGACUUCCAUCAUCACCAACUUUAUUAAUAAUAAUUUUAUUCUUAUGGCUACUUGUCUUGGUCACAUUUUUCAGCAAUUCAUUUUUGUCUCAAAAUUAUAUGUGGCAUAAAAUUAAAUUUACUUUUUU
rnacentral:lncRNA from 1 species